UUUGUUACAGGAAUGAUAGAAAGGACAAUAGGACAUAGUUUGUUUGUGUAGCACCUGAACGUGAGGGCAAGCGGUUAUGCAUCGUAGGGGACCGACAUUGUUUUAGGUUGUGGCAGUCCAGGUAGUGUGAACCAUUGCGGACAUAGCCACCAGUAAAGGAUGAACCUGGCGUUGGCCUACAUUGAGCUGACAGAGGAGCUGGGUCGUGUGAGAGGUCUGGCUGUCAGACAGACUGAGAUCCUGAGGAAGGCAUCCCACAAGCAGAUGGGGCGGAGGAGAUACGAACACACGGCAGGCCGGUGCUAUUUUCCAGCCAGUCAGCAGGAUGUGCAUCAUAGUUCAUUGUGGGGGACGAACCAAGGCACCGACCAAGCUGCUGCUGUUUUUACAGGAAGGGGUAAAAAUAACCAAUCGACAAAGGUUCCACCAUCCGGGACCUAGGGCCGGGGCUGGGGCCGGGGGUUGGGCCGGCAUAACAUGACAUGAAAAACUCCUGUUAUGUUUGUUUGUUUUUAGAUAAAAGGAAAACAGCAAUUUGCACACAACAAGCAAGGAUGCUCUUUGAGGUUGUGUUCCCGGAUCUUUUGUCAAAGUACUGUAGUUAUUUUGUUAUUAACAGGUUAUAAUCACCUGAAAUAUAAUUUUCAACCACUAUGCCAUGCCUAUGCGGUAUUUGUCAUAACAGUAUUCUUGUGUUUUAUUGUUGGUUGACAACAUUGUAGUACCAAAGACAUGACCUCAG